GCGAAAUGUUGUAAAAUACGGAAAAUAUAGCCCUGUGGAAUUAGCAAAUUUUGAGUAUUAAAUAUGUAAUACUAAAAUACUCAAAAUUUGCUAAUUCCACAGGACUAUAUUUUCCGUAUUUUACAACAUUUCGC